GCUCAGGAUGAACGCUGGCGGCGUGCUUAACACAUGCAAGUCGAACGAUGAACCUCACUUGUGGGGGGAUUAGUGGCGAACGGGUGAGUAACACGUGAGUAACCUGCCCUUGACUCUGGGAUAAGCCUGGGAAACCGGGUCUAAUACUGGAUACGACCUUCCCGCGCAUGCGGUGUUGGUGGAAAGCUUUUGUGGUUUUGGAUGGACUCGCGGCCUAUCAGCUUGUUGGUGGGGUAAUGGCCUACCAAGGCGACGACGGGUAGCCGGCCUGAGAGGGUGACCGGCCACACUGGGACUGAGACACGGCCCAGACUCCUACGGGAGGCAGCAGUGGGGAAUAUUGCACAAUGGGCGCAAGCCUGAUGCAGCGACGCCGCGUGAGGGAUGAAGGCCUUCGGGUUGUAAACCUCUUUCAGUAGGGAAGAAGCUGGUCCUUUGGGGUUGGUGACGGU
rnacentral:rRNA from 1 species